AAAUUGAAGAGUUUGAUCAUGGCUCAGAUUGAACGCUGGCGGCAGGCCUAACACAUGCAAGUCGAACGGUAACAGAAAGCAGCUUGCUGCUUUGCUGACGAGUGGCGGACGGGUGAGUAACGUCUGGGAAACUGCCUGAUGGAGGGGGAUAACUACUGGAAACGGUAGCUAAUACCGCAUAAUGUCGCAAGACCAAAGAGGGGGACCUUCGGGCCUCUUGCCAUCGGAUGUGCCCAGAUGGGAUUAGCUUGUUGGUGGGGUAACGGCUCACC
rnacentral:rRNA from 1 species